rnacentral:rRNA from 1 species
GGUUAAGCGACUAAGCGUACACGGUGGAUGCCCUGGCAGUCAGAGGCGAUGAAGGACGUGCUAAUCUGCGAUAAGCGUCGGUAAGGUGAUAUGAACCGUUAUAACCGGCGAUUUCCGAAUGGGGAAACCCAGUGUGUUUCGACACACUAUCAUUAACUGAAUCCAUAGGUUAAUGAGGCGAACCGGGGGAACUGAAACAUCUAAGUACCCCGAGGAAAAGAAAUCAACCGAGAUUCCCCCAGUAGCGGCGAGCGAACGGGGAGCAGCCCAGAGCCUGAAUCAGUGUGUGUGUUAGUGGAAGCGUCUGGAAAGGCGCGCGAUACAGGGUGACAGCCCCGUACACAAAAAUGCACAUGCUGUGAGCUCGAUGAGUAGGGCGGGACACGUGGUAUCCUGUCUGAAUAUGGGGGGACCAUCCUCCAAGGCUAAAUACUCCUGACUGACCGAUAGUGAACCAGUACCGUGAGGGAAAGGCGAAAAGAACCCCGGCGAGGGGAGUGAAAAAGAACCUGAAACCGUGUACGUACAAGCAGUGGGAGCCUCUUUUAUGGGGUGACUGCGUACCUUUUGUAUAAUGGGUCAGCGACUUAUAUUCUGUAGCAAGGUUAACCGAAUAGGGGAGCCGAAGGGAAACCGAGUCUUAACUGGGCGUUAAGUUGCAGGGUAUAGACCCGAAACCCGGUGAUCUAGCCAUGGGCAGGUUGAAGGUUGGGUAACACUAACUGGAGGACCGAACCGACUAAUGUUGAAAAAUUAGCGGAUGACUUGUGGCUGGGGGUGAAAGGCCAAUCAAACCGGGAGAUAGCUGGUUCUCCCCGAAAGCUAUUUAGGUAGCGCCUCGUGAAUUCAUCUCCGGGGGUAGAGCACUGUUUCGGCAAGGGGGUCAUCCCGACUUACCAACCCGAUGCAAACUGCGAAUACCGGAGAAUGUUAUCACGGGAGACACACGGCGGGUGCUAACGUCCGUCGUGAAGAGGGAAACAACCCAGACCGCCAGCUAAGGUCCCAAAGUCAUGGUUAAGUGGGAAACGAUGUGGGAAGGCCCAGACAGCCAGGAUGUUGGCUUAGAAGCAGCCAUCAUUUAAAGAAAGCGUAAUAGCUCACUGGUCGAGUCGGCCUGCGCGGAAGAUGUAACGGGGCUAAACCAUGCACCGAAGCUGCGGCAGCGACGCUUAUGCGUUGUUGGGUAGGGGAGCGUUCUGUAAGCCUGUGAAGGUGUGCUGUGAGGCAUGCUGGAGGUAUCAGAAGUGCGAAUGCUGACAUAAGUAACGAUAAAGCGGGUGAAAAGCCCGCUCGCCGGAAGACCAAGGGUUCCUGUCCAACGUUAAUCGGGGCAGGGUGAGUCGACCCCUAAGGCGAGGCCGAAAGGCGUAGUCGAUGGGAAACAGGUUAAUAUUCCUGUACUUGGUGUUACUGCGAAGGGGGGACGGAGAAGGCUAUGUUGGCCGGGCGACGGUUGUCCCGGUUUAAGCGUGUAGGCUGGUUUUCCAGGCAAAUCCGGAAAAUCAAGGCUGAGGCGUGAUGACGAGGCACUACGGUGCUGAAGCAACAAAUGCCCUGCUUCCAGGAAAAGCCUCUAAGCAUCAGGUAACAUCAAAUCGUACCCCAAACCGACACAGGUGGUCAGGUAGAGAAUACCAAGGCGCUUGAGAGAACUCGGGUGAAGGAACUAGGCAAAAUGGUGCCGUAACUUCGGGAGAAGGCACGCUGAUAUGUAGGUGAAGUCCCUCGCGGAUGGAGCUGAAAUCAGUCGAAGAUACCAGCUGGCUGCAACUGUUUAUUAAAAACACAGCACUGUGCAAACACGAAAGUGGACGUAUACGGUGUGACGCCUGCCCGGUGCCGGAAGGUUAAUUGAUGGGGUCAGCGCAAGCGAAGCUCUUGAUCGAAGCCCCGGUAAACGGCGGCCGUAACUAUAACGGUCCUAAGGUAGCGAAAUUCCUUGUCGGGUAAGUUCCGACCUGCACGAAUGGCGUAAUGAUGGCCAGGCUGUCUCCACCCGAGACUCAGUGAAAUUGAACUCGCUGUGAAGAUGCAGUGUACCCGCGGCAAGACGGAAAGACCCCGUGAACCUUUACUAUAGCUUGACACUGAACAUUGAGCCUUGAUGUGUAGGAUAGGUGGGAGGCUUUGAAGUGUGGACGCCAGUCUGCAUGGAGCCGACCUUGAAAUACCACCCUUUAAUGUUUGAUGUUCUAACGUUGACCCGUAAUCCGGGUUGCGGACAGUGUCUGGUGGGUAGUUUGACUGGGGCGGUCUCCUCCUAAAGAGUAACGGAGGAGCACGAAGGUUGGCUAAUCCUGGUCGGACAUCAGGAGGUUAGUGCAAUGGCAUAAGCCAGCUUGACUGCGAGCGUGACGGCGCGAGCAGGUGCGAAAGCAGGUCAUAGUGAUCCGGUGGUUCUGAAUGGAAGGGCCAUCGCUCAACGGAUAAAAGGUACUCCGGGGAUAACAGGCUGAUACCGCCCAAGAGUUCAUAUCGACGGCGGUGUUUGGCACCUCGAUGUCGGCUCAUCACAUCCUGGGGCUGAAGUAGGUCCCAAGGGUAUGGCUGUUCGCCAUUUAAAGUGGUACGCGAGCUGGGUUUAGAACGUCGUGAGACAGUUCGGUCCCUAUCUGCCGUGGGCGCUGGAGAACUGAGGGGGGCUGCUCCUAGUACGAGAGGACCGGAGUGGACGCAUCACUGGUGUUCGGGUUGUCAUGCCAAUGGCACUGCCCGGUAGCUAAAUGCGGAAGAGAUAAGUGCUGAAAGCAUCUAAGCACGAAACUUGCCCCGAGAUGAGUUCUCCCUGACUCCUUGAGAGUCCUGAAGGAACGUUGAAGACGACGACGUUGAUAGGCCGGGUGUGUAAGCGCAGCGAUGCGUUGAGCUAACCGGUACUAAUGAACCGUGAGGCUUAACCUU